rnacentral:lncRNA from 1 species
ACAUUGGAAAGCUGUGGUUUAAAAUACUGAGAGAAGAGCAGGCUUAUUUAUCUGUUUGGGUAACUGUUGGGAUUCAGCUACCUAGGAUCUUCCAUACUUGUAUUCUGAGAAGCUGUGUGCUGCCUUACAGAACCAGACCAAUGCACUGAAAAAGCAGUGCCAUCCCUGAACAUAGUGUCUAACUCUGCUUGUAAUAGCUUCGCACCAACACUGAUUGUCCAUAUAAUAGACCAUAUGGCAUAGAACCAUAGCUUAAAGUGAUUGCCUAAAUCUAUACCUCUCUGAAACUGAGUGUCAAAGGAGUUUCUUAGCAAACUAUGAACCCAGGCCACUGAGAUGUCUUAGUAGAUAAAUGUUACUUGCCACAAAACCUCAACCUGUAUCCUCAUGAUGGAAUUGAUCAUGGACUCCCACAUGCAACCAUGGCACAUUCACAUUCUACCUCCAUGCACAAAUAGAAACAAACAGAUAAAUACAGUGUUUAAAAAGCUAUGCACUUUUAAACUAAAGUUUUUUAAAUACUUGAUUCUUUUGUUUUAUAUGUAUGUCGUUAAUUAAAUGCCUGACUGCUUCAUAUCAUUUCUGUGAAAGUUUAAAUUAAUAUAAUUACCUUGACUUACAUAAAUAUUGCUUUGGUGUUAAAUGUGUGUGUGUUUUUUUUUUUAACUAGAUCGUCCUAAACAAGAAUUGAAGGAUUAUGUCCUAUGUGACCAGGCAAGGAGCAAGAUUUUGAGUGGAUCCAAAUGUAAGGUCAGAGCACGCAGAAAAUGAAGGGAACGUGAAAUGCUAUGAAAUUUACAUUUUUUUCCUUGAAUGGAGUUUGUCAGCGUCCAACAGGAAAACUGCAUCUUCUAAUUACAAGCAUUAGCUGGCGUUGAGCCUGGGCACCACCAGAGAAAACUUGCUGCAAACACUAAAUCAGCCGAGCUUUCAGAGCAGUGACCGGCUGCUCUGAACUUCUUCAUUCCCUACACCUCGGUAGUCCCAAUGACUGUCUAGUCUCAUAUUUAGAUUAUUUAUUUAUUAGAAAUGUCCUUUAUUUCAGAAUAAUUUAUGAAUGAUAGAAUAUAGAUGGAAACACAUUUUCUUCAGGUUUGCACUGUGAGCGUGUUUUCAUACAGUGAAUAUUGCUUCAGAUUUGUCCUGGGCCCUUAAAUUGUUAGUCUCUGUUAUUUAUCUUGUAUUUAAUUAUACUGAAGAAAUUUCAGAAAACAAGUGAAAAUUUACUAAGCAAUAGGAUGGUUUACAUUGUACUUUCAACUUUUAAAAGUACUUAUGUAAUAUAUGUUGUUGGAUUUAUGUAAAUUUUUGUUUGUUUUUGCUGUUCUUUGUGUUUUGUUUUUGUACCAAAGCCAACAGAGAUUCAGUUAUUUUAUUUUAACAGAAAAUUAGAAUUUUUUUUUUUUUUUUUUUUUUUUUACGAAAACACAGCAGUCAUGUACUGAUGUUAGUAACCACCACCCUGGGAUUUCUAGUCGCAGGUGUGACAUAUGGAACUAAGAACUGUAACAUGGGCUAUUUAAUAUAUGUCUAUAGCGUCAGAACUAAUGUAAAUGGCCUAGAAGGUUGAUGUAUAUUUAUUUAAUAGAUAGGAGAUAAUGUUUUGUUUCUUGAAAAAAAGGACCACGUUCAAAAUUGAUCCAAUCAGUCAGUAGUGAUGAAUCAUUGGUAUGUAAUCCAUUACAUCAAAAUAAUGUGUCUUAAAAGAGAAAAUAAAACUUUCUCUUGAAAACCCCACUUGAGAGACUGGCCAGCAUGGGUCACCUCAAAGUCUGCCUGGCUGUUGUGCAAACUCAAGCCAUCUUGGCAACUUAGAAGAACCCUGCCAAAGAUAAAAACCACUGGGAAAGUACGUAGCUUAGUGCAGAGGGUUUGCCUGCCGUGCAUGAGGCCUUAGGUUUAAUUCCCAACUCUGAAAAAGAAAGGGAAGGCAAGAG